AGCUUUGCACAGUGGCAGUAUUGUAGCCCAUGAGGUUUAUCCAAGGCACAAUUAUUGGCAAUUGAAAAAAAAAUUUACAUCUGAUGAUUAUGUGAUACCCUUGGGAUAACUUAUCUCUCUGUCUUUUUAGUGCCUUACAUAAAG